rnacentral:rRNA from 1 species
GACGAACGCUGGCGGCGUGCCUAAUACAUGCAAGUCGAACGCAGUGGGGACGGGUGAGUAACACGUGGGUAACCUCCCAUCAGAGGGGAUAACACUUGGAAACAGGUGCUAAACCGAUACUGAUGGAUGGACCCGCGGUGCAUUAGCUAGUUGGUGAGGUAACGGCUCACCAAGGCCACGAUGCAUAGCUGAUCUGUGAGGGUUCUCGGUGAAAAUGAGAUUGAGAAACGGCCCAGACGCCUACGUGAGGCACAAGUUGGGAAUCUUCGGCAAUGGACGAAAGUCUGACCGAGCAACGCCGCGUGAGUGAAGAAGGUUUUCGGUUCGUAAAACUCUGUGGUUAGAGAAGCGGUAUCUAACCAGAAAGCCACGGCGAACUACGUGCCAGCAGCCGCGGUAAUAC